ensembl:lncRNA
AAGAGACGCAAGAGUUUGCGUCACCACAGCAAAUGAGUCCUCAUAACCAAACAGACCUGACUCAGGGCAAACGCAAUAAUGAAGACUGUGUAUCCUCUGACAGUGAUGACUGUGUCAUUGUGGGUUUUGUUAAACCAACAGCAGAUCGGACUCCUCGGGUGGUUCAGCUUUCCUCUGACUCUGAGUGGUCUGCUGACGAUACUCAAGAAGUGCCUCUUCAGCCUCAACACAUUCGAUUCACCAGUAGCAGUCCUGCAACUCUACAUAGCAGUGAUCGUAGUGGGGCUGGACUAUCAGAAAAUGUAGACACAGAUGAUCGUCACCACUCAAGUUCAAAAGAAAGAUCAAGCAAGACGUAUAAGAAGUCAGACAGAAAAGGUCAGGGUAGAAGAUUUGACAGCAAAGAGAGAUCUAAGGAGAGGCACAAAUCAAAGGACAGACACUAUAGGAGGAGGAGGUCAAGAAGUAAAGAGCGGAGGCACUCUAGCAGAAGCCCGGUGAUCUCCCACAGCAGUGUGAGCACUUAUUCCACUGAAAAAAGUUAUUCUUAUUCAAAUGGCAGAGACUACUCCAGGUGUGACAGAUAUAAAAGGGACAGUGAUUACACCUACCAGUCAUAUAGCCAUUACAGCCAAGAGAGAAACGAUAGCGGGCUCCAUUACACACAAAGGCACUCGUACUAUUACAGCAGCCGCAGAUGCUCAGGUUUCCGCUCUCGCUCCAGUAGCCGCGACAAGGAUUUACGGAGACGGUACAGGAGGCGCUCUCGAUCCAGGACUUAUUCCAGCAGCCGCUCCCCUUCUGCCAGAAGGAAAUCUCAUUAUGACAAGCCUGGUGGGAAGAGGAAGUACAAAAAAAGACAUUUAGAGGACCCCUCCAGUACCACAGCGUUUAACUCCCAUGCAGAUGGUGACUCCUCUGCAUUAAGAAAACACAAGAAAAAAAGCAAAGAGAAGCACCGUAAAAAAUCCAAAGAGAAGUCUAGAAAGACCAGCAGGAGUCUCAGUGUGGAGCUCCUCAAUGAGGAAAAGGCACAUGAGCGGGGCAGGCGUCACCAUAAGAAAAAGAAGAAACACAAGAAGAAAAGCAAAAGGCACAAGAGCAGCGAACGCACAGAGAAGCGUUCACCCACUAUCAUUACCAUUGAUAGUGACAGCGAUUCAUUUGCUAAUGACAGUAUCACUCAGGCCACUAAUGCUAAUAAUGAUAAGCCCGCAGACGAUAGGACAGAUGACACAGUAGACACUACCCCUGCAGAUACACUGUUGUAAUCCUAUAUCAGAUUUUUACCCUCAGCUGCUGCCACCAUUUUUUUUUUUAAAUCACAACAGUGUUCAGUAGGGUGAAAGCACAUAUCACAUGUUUGCUAUAGUGAUAUUACAUUGGACACUGACAAACUGAUGGUAUGAUGUAUGCACAAUGAGAAAGAUGACCUUUUUAGACCUCCAUGGCCUGAUUUAAAACAAUGCUUUUAUAUCUGUUAUGUGCUACUAUGUGUAAGACAAAUGGAAUAAUAUUGGAAGUGUCGUCUUUUUGUUGUUGUUGUUGGUUUUUUGUUUUUUAAGAGUCAGUUCUUACUCUGUAUUAUGUGCUGAGGGUCUCUCAGGGUUAAUGCUGAUUACAAUUUGUGCUGCCAUCAGUUGGCUAUAAUCUGGAGACAAAAGAAUAUAAUGUUUUGAUUUCAAAAUAACUUCAUUUGUAUUGAAUUUUAUUUCUAAAUAAAUUGUAAAGAUUCAUUGUGUGUCAGAGAAAAAGAGCAUAAUUACCAGUCACAGUAUUUCCCCCCUUUUUUUACUGUAUUACGUUACAGCUUCAAACUCAAGCAAACAGUAUAAAACAGGGCAGAUCCAAGAUGUGAAUGGAGAAUGUACGUAAAAGUACAUUCAAUUUAUAGAAAAAAAAAAAAAAAUUGGUGGUGAAAUGUUUGUAAUGAAUCUGAAAACAUGCAGUAAACCACAGAAAAUGAUAACAAUUAAAACCUUUAUGAAGGUACUUAAGGUAUGUGUUAUUUUAAAGGGUUGUAAAAUAAUAAUGCAAAACAGAAAUAAAGUAUUCAAACACAAAAUCCCCAUAUUACAUCUCAAGCUUCAAAUGGAGUGGACUACAAUAUUCUGGUGAACUGAAUUGUCCUACUAUGUAAUAGAUGAGAUCUCUGUUUGUCUGCAAACUCCUCCCACACAAUCAGGAGUUCAACAAUGAGAGCUGGCACACAGGUACAUCAUUGUUCCCCUGAAGUUUCUUGUGUUUCUUUAUCAGAUGCUAUGGCAUCACUAUAUUGCCAUAUGUAGUAACACUGUAAC